rnacentral:rRNA from 1 species
GACGAACGCUGGCGGCGUGCUUAACACAUGCAAGUCGAACGGUGAAGGGACCGGUUUUUGCUGGUUCUGGAUGAGUGGCGAACGGGUGAGUAACACGUGAGUAACCUGCCCCCUUCUUCUGGAUAACCGCAUGAAAGUGUGGCUAAUACGGGAUAUUCUGCGCCUGCUGCAUGGUGGGUGUGGGAAAGAUAUUGUUUCGGUGGGGGAUGGGCUCGCGGCCUAUCAGCUUGUUGGUGGGGUGAUGGCUUACCAAGGCGGUGACGGGUAGCCGGCCUGAGAGGGUGGACGGUCACACUGGGACUGAGACACGGCCCAGACUCCGACGGGAGGCAGCAGUGGGGAAUAGUGCACAAUGGGCGCAAGCCUGAUGCAGCGACGCCGCGUGAGGGAUGGAGGCCUUCGGGUUGUAAACCUCUUUCGCCAGUGAAGCAGGCCUGUCCCUUUUGUGGGUGGGUUGACGGUAGCUGGAUAAGAAGCGCCGGCUAACUACGUG